UUUAGUAUUUAUUUUUUAUAAAAUUUUAAACUAUAAUUCCAAAACCCUACCUCUUAACUCUAAACCCUAAGGUUUGGAUUAAUUAACCCAAUAGGUAUAAGUGUAUAUUUAUUUCUUUAAUGAAACCUAUUUUUGUAACUUUGAACCUUGAAUGCUAUUUUGGAAACAAAAAAUUGGUUUGAUGCUAUUCUAGUCUUUUUCUCUAUUUUAAAUCAUUAUCUAUAUAACAAAAUUAUUGUAUUUUUACAUUUUACUCUCCAAUAAUGUUUGCCGGUUUGACGGCCGGCCGUUCUCCUCAGAAGCGUGGCUUCUCCGUUUUUGGAGGCAUGCAAUGUCAUGAAAGAGGGAGAGCUUAUGGAGGUUGAAAUGAUCCUUCUAAGAUGAUCACCCAACGUGCCCCAACCCCCAACUGCAACUCUCAACUCACAUGUAAACCAUCCCAUACUCCUAGCUGACAAAAACUUUUUAAUAGAGAGUUAGUGUGACAUAGUCUAAUCUGUGUUGACAGGACGGGAACAACAACCCAGAAGAUGAUAUGCAUGGAUUUACAUGUGUGUCAUGCAUGUGCUCUGACGGUGAGAAGCUAUCUACAGCUCACACUAACACCAGCUGUGGUGCAGGCCCAGUAUUUGCCUCCACUGAAUGAUAUCACGACAUCUACAGAAGAUACUGUGGCGAGAGCUCAGUUACAGAACCACAUGUUGCAGUGCCGGAGGGCGUACUCAAGAAACCAC